GUGUUGGCUUUGGCAGCACAUAUACUAAAAUUGGAAUGAUACAGAGAAGAUUAGCAUGGCCCCUGCACAAGGAUGACAUGCAAAUUGAGGAAGCAUUCCAUAUUUAA
ensembl:snRNA U6 U6 spliceosomal RNA